GGGUGUGUAGCCCAGCAGUAGAGUGCUUGCCUCACAUGCACAAUGCUCUGGGUUCAACCCCCAGUACCACCA
rnacentral:tRNA from 1 species